UGGGGGAUAUUGCACAAUGGGCGAAAGCCUGAUGCAGCGACGCCGCGUGGGGGAUGAAGGCUUUCGGGUUGUAAACCUCUUUCGCUAUCGAACAAGGCCCGCUUAGGGUGGGUUGAGGGUAGGUGGAGAAGAAGCGCCGGCUAACUACGUGCCAGCAGCCGCGGUAAUACGUAGGGCGCGAGCGUUGUCCGGAAUUAUUGGGCGUAAAGGGCUUGUAGGCGGCUUGUUGCGCCUGCUGUGAAAACGCGGGGCUUAACUUCGCGCGUGCAGUGGGUACGGGCAGGCUUGAGUGUGGUAGGGGUGACUGGAAUUCCAGGUGUAGCGGUGGAAUGCGCAGAUAUCUGGAGGAACACCGAUGGCGAACGCAGGUCACUGGGCCAUUACUGACGCUGAGGAGCGAAAGCAUGGGUAGCGAACAGG
rnacentral:rRNA from 1 species